UUUCCAUGCAGUGAGGGCUAUAAUUUCCGCUUGACUAGUCGUUUACGUUUUGUGUGCCUCAUUUGUGACCAUUUAGAAUAAAGUCGUGCUGAAGCAGAUGUACCCUACUCUGCUGCACGCAACCACCACCGCCUGCAAGGCCAACAGCGAUCGGCCAUUAUGGUUUGGCAUCUGACAGGGGCCGCGCCAUAAUGGCGCGCACCUUUUUUUAUAGCAUCGCCCAAUUUUGAGCAAAACACAGCAAAGAAAGUGCAUAAUUAACCAUUUUUAAGCACUACUGAAUCGACUGUUCCAGUUCGGAAUGCGAACUCUGGAACCUGUGCGGGCCAGUUCGCGAAAGGUUGAUUUUCAAGUUUUACUUUGGCGACCUUUUGCGUACAAAAAAAGUGCUUACUUCCUCCCCGCUCCGAUUCGUCGGACCACCCCUCGUGGUCAGUGUGGUGAGUGAUUAUAAAUUUAUAUUUCGUUUUGCCUUUUUGGCUUUAGCACGACCGCGGUUCCCCCUCCUCAUGCACGUCGCUCUUCAGCCGUAAAAUUGUGGUGAAAGAUUUUAUUUUUAACUGGCUGUGAAGAUGCAACUUUUAGCGCCAUAAAAUGCACCCCUCGUCGUUUGACAGGUUGCGAUCUCCAUUAUGGCAACGACUUCAAAGCGGAUACGUUUCGCAAUCAACCGUAACAAACAAUUGACCGUUUGUUUUGAUCAAAACAGUGUGCGGCUUGUUGUUUUUUUCACAUUUGAGGAUGAGUUUCACUUAAAAGCUCUCGUGAAAUGCUUUGGAGUUGUCCAGGGGUGAUUUACCUAUUUUCGUCACAACUUAUGAAAAUCUCACAUAAACUGUGUUUUUGAGAGCGAACAAACUCGAAACUAUUUUCAAGGACAAAUAUCGCUGACCUGCCCCUUUCCUCUUCCACACAUUUAUUUAUAACAGGUCGCAAAGGCAAAAAUGAUGGUCAGUGGCACUUUCUUUCGUAACCAAUAUAUUUUUUCGUUCCUACCCCCGAUCUCUUUCUCUUCGCGGUUUGUUAUGCGCUUUUUUCCACCCCAAAAUCAAGGUGUGGAAAAGCACACAAAAAAAAGCUUUUGUAACACUUUUACACCGAACCGGACCGACGACCAGAGGUCGAUGACAUCCGCCCGAUCUCGGCCACCAACCAGAAGCAUCUGCAGAUCAGGGUUAAGCCACCGUUGUGGGAAAAUUAGGCGUUGCGUCAUGGAUAUAAUAUGGCACGCGAUCACUGGAGGUCAGUGACCGUAUAAGUAAGAGGUGACAGUUUGGGACUGUACCAUAAUGGCGGGCGAGUGCCAUAAUUUGACAAUUUGGAACCAAAUUAGAUUUGGAGCAAAAUGAUUCCUUGAAAACACGAGAGCUUCUAUCAGUUAAUCAGAUACAUCCUAAUGAGUUGGUAAACAUAAUAAAUCAUGGAUUUAUAUCAACAAAAAAAAAA